UCCGACAGUCGUGAUGUGGUUUUCCCUACGGCUGCUUCGCUCAUUCCAUCUCCCGCCGACGGUCGGUUCUCCGCGAAGAAAAGAACCCUAAUUCUCCUAAUCGCAUCUAUCCUUCGUUACUUCCGCGUGGUACAUCGAUUGCUUUUUUCUCUCGAUACGCCAUCAUCGUACAACUAUCACGAGUUUCGCGCACAGAGAUUUCUGAUUUGUUCUCUGGGAUCCUGUUUCUGAUGAUCCCAGAUCGAAAGUCAUGGCUGAAUGGGAGCAGAAAAUGUCUUUUUUUGCCAAGAAAAGGGAGAAAAAAGGAAAAAACUAGCACCGAAGCAAGUUUGAGAUUAUUGACACAAUGUCGCCUGCUUCCCUUACUUCAUUUAGCAUCGCUGUUUGUGUCCUCCAAUUUGCAUGAAUUAUACAUUUUGAUUUGGUAAUUGAUGUUGGUCGAAGCUGCUUCAGAGGAGGCUCAUUAGUAUCCUUCCGCCAGUGGAUUUGAUGAAGGCAGAUACAACCGUAAGAUCGACAUGUUUAAAGGAUCAAUGAGGCUUGCUGUGGACAAAUGGCGGCACAUACAAGUGACAGAUCCAGCUGAUUUCACUGUGAACGAAGACAAUAAUCUUUCUUUGAUCGAGUACGAGCUGGUGACUGUUGUUGAAGGGUGAUUGAGAACUAUCCAUGCCAAGGCAUGACUUCAUGAAUCAGUAUUGGUUUUCUAAUGAACUGUGAGGAGGAUCUUCCGAUCUCUCUCGGAUGCUUUUCCCGAAGUUACUCGGCUGAAGUCUGUUAUGGUGAAAAAUAGGUCUCGGAUACAGUCAUGAAGAAGCUACCACCCGAAGGUGAUGAAUCCUUGUCAACACAGCACAGUUCACUGUGAUACUGAAAUUGGCAAGAUGUUGGUAAGCAUAAUAUUGUCAUCUAAAACCUGCACUUUUCAGUUAUUUGUGAAUUUUAAUUUCCAGAUGUCGCCACUCUGGUCGUUGCUUUUUAAUGGAGUGGGUGCUUCUAUCAUGUUGAGAGAGAGGAAACCACAGGUGAUCAUUUCGCCGAUGUUGUUCCUUCGAUUAUCUGCUCAUUUUUGUGUCCAAAAACACUGAUCACUACUGCAUUUUGUUGGAAAAACCCCAACUGGAAAGCUUGACAAUCACUGAGAUUUCAUUGUUGUCUUGCAUCAUUGCUUCA